rnacentral:rRNA from 1 species
GACGAACGCUGGCGGCGUGCUUAACACAUGCAAGUCGAACGGAAAGGCCCUGCUUGCAGGGUAUUCGAGUGGCGAACGGGUGAGUAACACGUGGGUGAUCUGCCCUGCACUUCGGGAUAAGCCUGGGAAACUGGGUCUAAUACCGGAUAGGAGCCAUUUUUAGUGUGAUGGUUGGAAAGUUUUUUCGGUGUAGGAUGAGCUCGCGGCCUAUCAGCUUGUUGGUGGGGUAAUGGCCUACCAAGGCGGCGACGGGUAGCCGGCCUGAGAGGGUGGACGGCCACAUUGGGACUGAGAUACGGCCCAGACUCCUACGGGAGGCAGCAGUGGGGAAUAUUGAACAAUGGGCGCAAGCCUGAUGCAGCGACGCCGCGUGGGGGAUGACGGCCUUCGGGUUGUAAACUCCUUUCGCUAGGGACGAAGCUUUUUGUGACGGUACCUAGAUAAGAAGCACCGGCUAACUACGUG